AGUGAACGCUGGCGGUAGGCCUAACACAUGCAAGUCGAACGGCAGCACAGUAAGAGCUUGCUCUUACGGGUGGCGAGUGGCGGACGGGUGAGGAAUACAUCGGAAUCUACUUUUUCGUGGGGGAUAACGUAGGGAAAUUUACGCUAAUACCGCAUACGACCUACGGGUGAAAGCAGGGGAUCUUCGGACCUUGCGCGAUUGAAUGAGCCGAUGUCGGAUUAGCUAGUUGGCGGGGUAAAGGCCCACCAAGGCGACGAUCCGUAGCUGGUCUGAGAGGAUGAUCAGCCACACUGGGACUGAGACACGGUCCAGACUCCUACGGGAGGCAGCAGUGGGGAAUAUUGGACAAUGGGCGCAAGCCUGAUCCAGCCAUGCCGCGUGGGUGAAGAAGGCCUUCGGGUUGUAAAGCCCUUUUGUUGGGAAAGAAAAGCAGCAGGUUAAUACCCCGCUGUUCUGACGGUACCCAAAUAAUAAGCACCGGCUAACUUCGUG
rnacentral:rRNA from 1 species